GCGGCACGCCGACGGGGGAGCCGAAUUAAUACGCAUGCGCCGGCCGGCCGCGCAGCCCGCAGAGCCGAGUCGCCGAGCCACGUAGACAGGGGAAUCCAGAUACUGCCAGAAAAAGUGUCAAGGGUAUUAUGGCAAGCGCAGCCCAAAAUGACAUAAAUGAGCGGAAGAACUUGCAUGUCCCACAAAACACAGAGGUCCAAUAUUGGGACAGGUUUCAAAGCUGAGCUGAGCUAUGCAGCUGUGUACGAUUCUACAUUUUUGAGGGUUUUGCCAACGUUUAUGAGACCACCUGGAAAAAGACUCCAAAUGCCACAAUAAAUUUUGUGUGAAUAAUUUAAUAGCGCUGGGGAGGGGUGGGCAGAGCUUGGAAGGACAACAAAGCUGCAUCUGCGGCCGGUUUUUAACGGGAGGAGUGGGCUCUGUCCAAAGAAACCCAUUCACCUACUCCUGAAUUCUUGGCUCACAGGAAGAGGCUGUAUAAACCAAGAGUCAAACAGAACCUAACAUUUAUCUCGCAGCCAUAAUAUUAGUAUACAGGAUAUCAGCCACCGGAAGGGAUAUGGGAUAAAUUUGAUUCAGUUCACAUUUAAAGACAAACCACCAUAAUUCAUACAUUACAAAGCAAAUACAGGAACUUAAACGCAGCCAUCCUUCGAGAUUCACACUUUUCCUGGAUUUUGCUAUGCAGUCCUCUAGCGAAGAAAUGUGUACUAAAAGGUAUAGGCUACAGUUUGCAAAAAGGCGUGAAAAUAACAUACAAAAAUGCUUUCUACGAGGAGGAGAAAUUGCUUUGCAAAACUGAGCGUAUUACACCAAACUGCAUACAGAUCUGUGUAUAUUAGGAUAAAUUAUCAACACGAAACUGAUGGAAUUUCACGAGGGAAUAAUAAUUAAAAAAGAAAAAGCAAGCUGAUGUGGAGAACUGAGCAUAACACUGAAAAACCGAGAAAAUGAAAUUGAGAGAUUUGCCAUGCCCUGGUCAUGAAAAAGGGGAAGGACUGGUGGUGUGGUCUUCUGCAUCCCCACUUUAUAUGUAUGUAUUUCAUGUGUACUUUAAUGAACUGAAUAAUGAGUCAUGGGGGUGUGGGGAGUGUGUGCAUAAACUUAGCAGGGCUUAUCUUUUCAGUUGCUAAUCUGUUAAUGUUGUUAAUACUGUUUUGUAGAACGCCACACUGACUUGUUAAUCAUAUGACUUUUGCUGUAAUUGUGACGCUAAGCUUAUUUUUAGUUGCUGCUUUGUUAACAGUGCUUCAUAGACAGCAAUUGUUUUAUUGAUGCUCGUCAAUUAUUUUAUAUUAAUUAUGCUGCCUUUGUGAUGUUCUAUGAUGUUAUUGUUAGUUGUUUGUAAGCUGUUCUGGGAUUCAUUCAAAUGGAAAGAGGCAUAGAAAUACAAUAAAUCAAAAUCAAUUUGCAUUCUGAAAUUUAACAGGCAUUGUCCAUACCUGUCGGAAGUUUAUCUGUAUAACCUCAAAAGGCUUGGAAACUUCCUGUUGUAAUGUGGUUUUAAUUUCCUAUAUGCUAGUAGGGGCCGCAUCAUGCAUUUGGGAUUAACCAGUUUGGAAUUAGAAACAUGGACACCAAAUCCCAAUGUUUUCAGGAAUCUGAACGGAUUCUUGUACUCGCUGAACACCAAGGGAGAAUGGACAAAACAUUGUACUAGUUUGAGAUAGGGUCAAUUUUUUUGGAAGUCAAUGGAGCACCAUCUUUGUUCAUAGUACUUGUGGUGGACUUGGCAAUAAGACGGCUUGGUGUACUGGAUUACAAACAAUCUCCUAGUUUUUCCAAGAUGAGGGGAGUGACAGCUCCGGUUGUUUGCAUAAGGAAGUGGAGUUUGAGGCGGGGGAGGGAGGAAGGGACAGACAGAGAAAUGGGAUUUGGGCACUUUACCUGUGUAUUCCUCUUCAUCCUCCAGUAUCUCCAUCUGAGUUUGGAAGAAAGCUGCUUUUGAGGCUUCCAUGUCAGAAGAUGGCAUCUCCAGCAUCCUUGACCUGGAGUGAUGGGAGCUGGAAUUGGAAUAUGGGCUCUCAGCUGUUCCAUAUAAAAUGAGGCUCCAUUCUUUUAACUUUCCUGCAAAAGAUUCGGCAUUCAUAAAUAUUGCCCUGGUUUGCACAUUAAUAUUAAGCAACAGUGCAUUAAACUAUGGUUUAUAUGAUAGUCUGGAGCCUGUCCAGGGAUUUGUUUACUCCCAACAAACCACAAUCUUAAACCACGGCUUGUUGUUACCUUACAACUUUUUAAAAAUGAUUAAUUGGCAUUGAAGUGUGAACCUAGCACUGUUCUUUAACUAUGGUUUGCUUGGCCGCCCCAACUCAGGUAUUCACCAAGCUAUAAAGCACGAGGCAAGAGCAGCUAAAAAACAAUCCAAGUUUGGAGGAACAAACCAUAGUUUGAUUGAUUGUCUGUGGGACAAAUCAUGGUUAACUCAUGCUUUGUUAAACAAACCAUAGUUUAAACAAUUUUUGAAACAGCUUUUCCCAGUCUGGUGCCCUCCAGAUGUUUUGGGUUACACUCUCAUUAUCCUAGGCCAGCAUGGCCAAUGGUGAGAGAUGAUGGAAUUAACAGUCCAAAACAUCUGGAGGGCACCAGGUUGGGGAAGGCUGCCUUAAAUGAACCAACGCUUAGCAUUAUGUAUGAUCCAGGUCAUUAAGUCUAUUAACUGUUAAUAAUCAGUCAUCUGCCUUAACUGAUGGAAAUGCUCCCAGGUACCACCUACUAAUGGAUUAUUUGACAAGGUUGUAAUGGACACAAUUACUUAAAAUGGAUAAAACACCUAUGCAAAUUAAGGCGGCUUUGCAUCCUAAUUUCAAGGGUGAUUUCUUGUGAAAAUGAUCCCUAUUUAGGUAAAUAUUCGCUCCAAAAGGGAGAUGUGUAAAAGUCUUGCUAGAACUAAUCCUAUUCUGUUGUUGAUCUGUUUUAAUGAAUUUGAUCCUUGAUGACUCUGAAAAGAGAAUGUGGAAGAGGAAAUUGGCAGUUACGUUUGAAAUGAGUGCUUAAUGAAAUCUUGGUAAAUGUGUUACUCUUUUGAAAUGUUUGAAUGCUCAAAUAAAGUGGUUGAAACAUCAA